UGCACUGCAUGGUAUCUGCACUCUGCAGUUUCCUCCUGGUGGCAUGUUCAAAGGACGGUGCAAUAGAAAUUCAGUAUCUGGCAUGGUUGGUUUUCUUGGCUUUAUGCAUGUUGAACCUGUUAUUUCUAUUGCUUACAGCA
ensembl:snoRNA